AUCUCAGAAUGAGAGGANUGGGUAAGAUGG
rnacentral:piRNA from 1 species